AUGAAGAACACAGAUAUUGAGUGGACUCGGCAGUAUAUCAAGAAGUUGCAGCUUGAGAACCCUGGUUUCAUCUAUAAGAUGCAAAUAGAUGCUGAUGACACUGUGCGGAGCAUUUUCUGGACAGAUGCUCGGUCAAGAUUGGACUACAAGUUGUAUGGAGAAAUCAUAUCCUUUGACACAACCUAUAGCACUAACAAGUACAACAUGCCGUUUGCACCGAUUGUUGGAAUCAAUGGACAUGGGCGAACAAUAGUGUUUGGUUGGGCGCUGUUGCAAAAUGAGAAAGCGGAUACUUUCACAUGGUUGUUUGAGACUUUUGUAGAAGUCAUGCAAGGCCAGAAACCAGGGAUAGUCUUGACUGAUCAAGAUUCAGCAAUGAAAGUGGUUGUUCCUCGAGUGUUUGGAGAUUCUCUCCAUAGGUUCUGCAUAUGGCAUGUGCUCAAGAAUAUGAAGGAUAACAUGGGUGCAUACAUGGCUUUGAGGGAAGGGAUGGAAGAAAUGAAAACUGUAUUGAUGCAAUCUGCCACUGUUGAUGAGUUUGUUGCAAAUUGGCAAGAGUUUUUUGUGAAGUAUGACUGUGCAGAGCAAGAUCAUAUUAAAAGGAUGUGGGAAAUCCGUGCCCAUUUUGUUCCGGCUUAG
rnacentral:rRNA from 1 species